rnacentral:rRNA from 1 species
UACGUAGGGCGCAAGCGUUGUCCGGAAUUAUUGGGCGUAAAGAGCUCGUAGGCGGUUUGUCGCGUCUGCUGUGAAAACCUAAGGCUCAACCUUGGGCUUGCAGUGGGUACGGGCAGACUAGAGUGCGGUAGGGGUGACUGGAAUUCCUGGUGUAGCGGUGGAAUGCGCAGAUAUCAGGAAGAACACCAACGGCGAAGGCAGCUCGCUAGGACGGUACUGACGCUGAGACGCGAAAGCGUGGGGAGCGAACAGG